rnacentral:piRNA from 2 species
UAGGAGACCCUGGAAUGGACUCGCGGACA